GAUUAACGCUGGCGGCGUGCAUAACACAUGCAAGUCGAACGAUGAAACUUAGUAGACUUCUUCGUAAAGACACCAACCGGCGUAGUGGCGAACGGGUGAGUAACGCCUUAUUAACCUGCCUUACACAAGGGGAUAGCCUGUUGAUACGAAGAAUAAUACUCUAUAAAACCAUAAAAGCACAUGCUAGAAUGUUCAACGUGAUAGUGGUGGAAGCGGGACUUGCGUCUUAUUAUCUUGAUGGAGAGAUAAAAGCACACCAAGGUAAAGAUCAGUAGCCGGAAUGAGAGAGUGGUCCGCCACCCUGCGGCUGGGACACGGCCCAGACUCCCACGGGAGGCAGCAGGGGGGAAGGUUGCACGAUGGGGGAAAGCCUGAUGCAGCGACGCCGCGUGAUUUAGAAGUCCGGGGGGUAGUAAAAAUCUUUUGUAUAGGAAGAACAUGACAGUACUAUACGAAUAAGGCCCGGCUAAUUACGUG
rnacentral:rRNA from 1 species